rnacentral:misc_RNA from 1 species
GGGCUAUUUGCUUCCGGAAAAUAAUGUAGUAAUCUCAAAAAAUGACUUCAAGAAUUUAGCAAUACUCUCUACCCUUUUCCAUUCCUCAUCGGAAAGACUAUUUAAAAUCAAUAUCAAGAAAUUUAUAUUGAAUAUAAGCUUGUUGGUAGAGAAGAGCGCUAUCAAGCAUUUGGUAAGUGGAAUUCCACCGACUACUUACAUCUUCACAAAGCUUCUUCGAACAUGGCAACCCAUGAUUCAUAAUGCAUUCCACAAACUUUAAUAUUCUUCCUUCUGAAUUUUUAAUGUGCUUAACACCUUCUCUUACUUUUUCAAUGGCGUCAUCUGCUUUUUCC